rnacentral:rRNA from 1 species
GACGAAUGCUGGCGGCGCGCUUAACACAUGCAAGUCGAGCGGUAAGGCCCUUUCGGGGGUACACGAGCGGCGAACGGGUGAGUAACACGUGGGUGACCUGCCCUCAGCUCUGGGAUAAGCCUGGGAAACCGGGUCUAAUACUGGAUAUGACUCCAUGACGCAUGUUGUGGGGUGGAAAGCCUUGUGCGGCUGAGGAUGGGCCCGCGGCCUAUCAGCUUGUUGGUGGGGUGAUGGCCUACCAAGGCGACGACGGGUAGCCGGCCUGAGAGGGCGACCGGCCACACUGGGACUGAGACACGGCCCAGACUCCUACGGGAGGCAGCAGUGGGGAAUCUUGCGCAAUGGGCGAAAGCCUGACGCAGCGACGCCGCGUGAGGGAUGACGGCCU